ACCGCGUGAGGGAUGAGGCCUUCGGGUUGUAAACCUCUUUUCUUGGGGAAGAAUUUUGACGGUACCCAAGGAAUAAGCCUCGGCCAACUACGUGCCAGCAGCCGCGGUAAUACGUAGGAGGCGAACGUUAUUCGGAUUUACUGGGCGUAAAGGGAGCGUAGGCGGUUCCUUAAGUCAGAUGUGAAAUCUUCUGACUCAAUCGGAAGGGGCCAUUUGAUACUGAGGGACUUGAGAGCAGCAGAGGGAAAUGGAAUCUCCAGUGUAGCGGUGAAAUGCGUAGAUAUUGGGGAGAACACCAGUGGCGAAGGCGAUUUCCCAGGUUGUUUCUGACGCUGAGGCUCGAAAGCGUGGGGAGCGAAGCGGAUUAGAUACCCGCGUAGUCCACGCCCUAAACGGUGGACACUAGAUAUGGGAGGUAUCGACCCUUUCUGUGUCGAAGCUAACGCUUUAA
rnacentral:rRNA from 1 species